rnacentral:rRNA from 1 species
UUGACCUCAAAUCAGGUAGGACUACCCGCUGAACUUAAGCAUAUCAAUAAGCGGAGGAAAAGAAACUAACAAGGAUUCCCCUAGUAACUGCGAGUGAAGCGGGAAAAGCUCAAAUUUGAAAUCUGGCGGUUCUUGAUCGUCCGAGUUGUAAYCUAGAGAAGUGUUACCUGUGCUGGACCGUGUAAAAGUCUCCUGGAAUGGAGCAUCAUAGAGGGUGAGAAUCCCGUCUUUGACACGGACUGCCUGUACAUUAUGGUGCGCUCUCAAAGAGUCGAGUUGUUUGGGAAUGCAGCUCAAAAUGGGUGGUAAAUGCCAUCUAAAGCUAAAUAUUGGCGAGAGACCGAUAGCGAACAAGUACCGUGAGGGAAAGAUGAAAAGAACUUUGGAAAGAGAGUUAAACAGUACGUGAAAUUGCUGAAAGGGAAACGCUUGAAGUCAGUCACGUCGGCUAGAAAUCAGCCUUGCUCCUGCUUGGUGUACUUUCUGGUUGACGGGUCAGCAUCAGUUUUGGCCGCUGGAUAAAGUCUUUGGGAAUGUGGCAUCUUUGGAUGUGUUAUAGCCCAUUGUCGCAUACAGCGGUUGGGAUUGAGGAACUCAGCACGCCUGCAAAGGCCGGGUUUCGACCACGUUCGUGCUCAGGAUGCUGGCAUAAUGGCUUUAAUCGACCCGUC